GUAGCACCUCUGUUUUUCUGCUCUCCUAUCCAGCCACUUGUAGUGGCACCUGAACGAUCUACUUGGCUUCUAUCAACCUGCCGAUUUUCUACAUAGUACCAUUUCUUCACUUAACCAAGGCAGGAAGUCAACAAUUGAUCGGCAAAUGAGCAUGGAGAUUGCUGAAGAGCUGAGUGGUCGAUCUUGAGCCUAAAAAUGAAUUCAUCUAGAGGCUAGAGACCGACAGAUCCGAUCAAUUCAUCAUGCGUACGGAGGACACCAUUGAUGUGGCCGUCGAAAGGAUUCUCGUUGAACUUGGGAAAGACACUACAAGCAGCAGAGAGAAUGCCAUUUACUUUGAUGGCUAGGAUUGUCUUGGGGCAUCUGCUUUCCUGCAAGCCGUAGCCAAACGCCUUGGAGUAUCAAAUGAGCCGUCAACGAGGCCUGCAGGGCUGCGGUUUGAGAAAAUCAUCCACAUUGACUGCUCAAAGUGGGAGAGCAGAAGAGCAAUGCAAAGGGAAAUAGCAGAGCAGCUGAACCUUCCUAAUUGGGUGAUGGAGAUGUUUGACAAGCAAGAUGAGGAGGAUGAUUUCAAUGGGUUAGACCAGGGCUCCCGAACUGAGAUAGCACAAGUUGUCAGAGAGAUCUAUCAAACUACACAGAAUCAGAGGUUCUUGGUGAUUCUGCAUAAUGGAGGCAAUGAGGAGACUGAUGUGAUAGGAGCUGAAAAGUGGGACAUGAGCCAUUUCUGAGGACGACUGCGCAACAUUCGCAAGCUCCGGGUAACAAAGUCCACCUGCUUCUUCAACAACAACGUGUUAUCGGAGAUGGAAAACAUGGAGCUUCUAGAUUUUUUGAGAAAUACCAUCAGACAAGGCAUGACAAGAGCUUAUCAGGGACAAGAAGCAACAGUACAGUAGCCUGAAGAGCGUCACUAUUGAUGGGUUAAACAAUAUCUCUUUUAGGCCUUGUUCGGUAGGCAGAGGACAAACCCCCUAGCAGAUUCAAUCCACCCAGGGAUCGGGUGAUCCCUACACCGUCACCCAAUCCCAUGCACGGAUUAAACCCCAUAUCUCCUAAAUCCGUCCCUCAAUAGAUCAACGUUCGGUAACCCGCUUUGGGCUGCGCCGCAAGCGAGAGUUCCCCUCAGAUCGCUCGGGGUUUCUUUCCGCGAGUGGGGAGACGAUGAUUUUUUCCCCGCGCGUUUCGCGAAGACCGGAGGGGUUUCAGUCGGGGAACGGACCCACGCCAGGCUUAACCGAAUAUGCAUUAACAGAUGGGCCGGGGUCACACCCAGGCGGGGGCGAUCCCCGUGGAUCCGCGGGGGUUGGGCCCCAAACCUCGCGAGGGAGGGAGUAAACGAACAAGGCCUUAGGGGGCUGCAAAGAAUUGGCAAACGUGUUCUUGAAAGGACUAUAGAGGGUUCUUGGGGAGCUGGAACUCUCAGGCACAAGAGUGAACUCCCCAAGCAGAUCAUCCUGUUAGCUGGCUGUAAGAAGCUCCAUGCAAUAAUAUUGACACCACAUCUCCAUCAACAACAGCUUACGGAGGGGAGGCACCACUUGUGCAUCCAGAUGCCGAUCUAUCCCUCCACCAGUAGAAAGAAGAGAUGUUCAAGGGUGGAUGGCGGAUUUGUCUCACGGAUGCAAGGCUCCUUAGGUCUCUCUCUCCUAUAGAAAGUCUUUUAGAAGACACAUCAAUACAUAUUGAUAUCUGUACUGCAGCUGCUGUUGAUGGUAGCAAUAUCCAAGGAACAACCAGUAACAAACUAGUCCAAGUCCAACCAUAUACAAGCGUCUUAAUGCCCUCGAAGUACAGAGAUGCCUUUAGGGAUGAUCAAGUUGCAGCAGUGGUUAUGCGGUACUGUCCCAAGAUACAGAAGGAGUGGCUGACCAAAUAUACAUGUUUCAUAAAGGUGGUGAUGCACAGGCAGGACAACAGACUCUUGGAGUUGGAGGAUGCUGCAGAAGCUAGUACUAGUGCUUUAAUAUUGACUAAAUU